UUCUGCCAUGAUUGGAAGUUUCCUGAAGCCUCCCAGCCAUGCGGAACUUUCUGGAGGCUGGAAGUCCAAGAUCAAGGUGCUAUCAGGGUUGGUUUCGGCUGUGGCCUCUCUUCCUGGCUUGUAGACAGCUAUCUUCUCGCAGUGUCCUCACGUGGCCUCUUUGUGUGAAGCAACAGCUCCAUAUGUUGAUGUGAACUGUGACUCCAGGAGAACGGUGGAAAAGUGUCUUGAUCCAGGAAGGAAGGGGUAUAGAGAAAAUAUGAGUCUCACCACACUAGAAGCAACAUAUGCAAAAUCCAUCAAACACACCAUAAAAUCAAUGUGGGAGUAACAACACCUUGGCCUACUGCUCCCUGAAAAGUUUUUCUCUCGUCAAGUGAUGACAGGCGUACAUUUGUAAAUAAAUUACCAAGUUGCUUUUGAUUUGAUGGAGAAGGAAGAAAAGGAUUGUCUCCUGGAAGUAUUUUUAUUGUCUUAAUAGGUAGGAUAAUAUCUCUGUUCAGCAAACUGAGAUCUUUUGAGAAUCUUAACAAAUGUAUACCCCUCCCUCUCACCUUUUCCUCUCUGGUGUAUUUCAUAGGCAGCUUUGCUAACUGACUGCACUACUACAAAUAGAUUCUGUCACUUUAGAAAUAGGAUUUUUCCUUUUAUAGGCAGAUUGAUGGACUAAGUGUCAAGGUUUUAGAACAGUAGCAUGACUGGGGCAGACACUAUAAACCAUAAAUCCAGUAUUGACAAAUGUUCUAGCCAAUCCAGAUUUUCUAUUUGUUAAAUUGCCUUUAUGAAGUCAUACUUGUGCAGCACAGAAUAUGGAAAAUAAUUGACAAGUUCUGAGAAGCCAGUUACUGAGCUCAUAGUUUAAUAAAGAAAAUGUUAAUG